UACGAAGGGGGCUAGCGUUGCUCGGAAUUACUGGGCGUAAAGCGCACGUAGGCGGCUUUCUAAGUCGGAGGUGAAACCCUGGAGCUCAACUCCAGAACUGCCUUCGAUACUGGAGAGCUUGAGUCCGGGAGAGGUGAGUGGGACUGCGAGUGUAGAGGUGAAAUUCGUAGAUAUUCGCAAGAACACCAGUGGCGAAGGCGGCUCACUGGCCCGGUACUGACGCUGAGGUGCGAAAGCGUGGGGAGCAAACAGG
rnacentral:rRNA from 1 species